AAAGCUUUGAAUCAUCUGUUCUUAUCAGUUUAAUAUCUGAUAGGUCCCCUAUCUGGGGACCAUAUAUUAACUUCUUCGAUAUAGGGGGCGCUCUUUUAAUUUUUGGAUGAAAAACGUUCCCGUUUUAAACAAGAUAUUUUGUCACGAAAAGAUGCU
rnacentral:snRNA from 1 species